rnacentral:rRNA from 1 species
GACGAACGCUGGCGGCGUGCCUAAUACAUGCAAGUCGAACGCAGUGGGGACGGGUGAGUAACACGUGCCUAACCUCCCUUCAGAGGGGAUAACACUUGGAAACAGGUGCUAACCCGCUACUGAUGGAUGAACUCGCGGUGCAUUAGCUAGUUGGGGAGGUAACGGCUCACCAAGGCCACGAUGCAUAGCCGACCGGAGAGGGUGAUCUGCCACACUGGGACUGAGACACGGCCCAGACUCCUACGGGAGGCAGCAGUAGGGAAUCUGCGGCAAUGGACGAAAGUCUGAUCGAGCAACGCCGCGUGAGUGAAGAAGGUUUUCGGAUCGUAAAACUCUGUUGUUAGAGAAGCGGUAUCUACCCAGAAAGCCACGGCUAACUACGUGCCAGCAGCCGCGGUAAUUC